CUUCCUGCUGCCUUGAGGAGAAGGUGUUUUGCUUCGGCUUCCUGCCGUGAUUGUAAGCUUCUUGAGGCCUCCCCAGCCAUGCUAACUGAAGGGUCCUGUCCUGUACCCGGGAGGAAGAAAUGCUACACAGAGAAGCCAAGAUGAAUCUGAACAGACAGGCUUUGAGUUAUGACCUCCCUGAAUAAACAGAAGACAAAGAUAGAGACUUAGGUGUGGCCACUUCUCAAGUGAUCUUUAAAAGGAAACGAAACAAUAAUUCUAACCUACAGAGCACUCUCUUAAGAACUACCUGAGGUAUCUGGAACCCAUGGAAGAAUGGGAGCUCGAUAUGAAUGGCCGGGGCAUUUCUAACCCAAGGGGCCCAUAAAACUUCACCCAUCACUUUUUCCACAGGUAUUUAUUAGGCACUUGUCAUGCGCC